UACGUAGGGGGCAAGCGUUGUCCGGAAUCAUUGGGCGUAAAGCGCGUGUAGGCGGCUUGGUAAGUCUGCUCUGAAAGCCCGGGGCUCAACCUCGAGACGUCGGUUGAAACCGUAUGGCUAGAGUCCGGAAGAGGAGAGUGGAAUUCCCGGUGUAGCGGUGAAAUGCGCAGAUAUCGGGAAGAACACCCGUGGCGAAGGCGGCUCUCUGGGACGGUACUGACGCUGAGACGCGAAAGCGUGGGGAGCGAACAGG
rnacentral:rRNA from 1 species